UUCUCUUUCUCGCGGUCUCUGUGCUGCUGGGUAAUACCUAUCCCCUUGAACGCUUCCUCUACUAUUCCCACCAUUUCCUCCAGGGCCUCCUCUUCCUCUCACUCUACCUCUAUAGUUAUUACUAUAUCCUCCCCUUGUUCUAUCUCUCUCAUGUUGUUCCCUCAAUGGACACUCACUCCUCCAAUGCCCUUCUUCCCUACAAUAUGCGCAUUGGUUCCUACUUAAAGGCUCCCUAUUCCACUUAUUCUCGCUUUUCUCGGUUUACCUGUACACUUCCUUUUCCCUUCUAUCUACACCAGCGAUAGCUACCGCUAACAUAUCUGCCUUCCUUCUCAUCUUACACUCUUCUUCCUUCUUCGUCUCUG